UACGUAGGGUGCGAGCGUUGUCCGGAAUUAUUGGGCGUAAAGAGCUCGUAGGCGGUUUGUCGCGUCGACUGUGAAAACCCGAGGCUUAACCUCGGGCCUGCAGUCGAUACGGGCAGACUAGAGUUCGGUAGGGGAGACUGGAAUUCCUGGUGUAGCGGUGUAAUGCGCAGAUAUCAGGAGGAACACCGGUGGCGAAGGCGGGUCUCUGGGCCGAUACUGACGCUGAGGAGCGAAAGCGUGGGGAGCAAACAGG
rnacentral:rRNA from 1 species